rnacentral:lncRNA from 1 species
UUUGAUUCUAAUGUUCACUCAGAGGUUUAGAUUUGUGUCAAAACACAACAAAAUUUAAGAGCCAAGGUCAUUGAAAAGUCAUGAGCUUGAGUAAGAAAUAGAUAAGAGUAAUGAUUGAUCAAGUCAUUGAAAUAAACAAAGGCAACCACUGCACUCAACUUGUGUGCUGGGUGUCUUACAUAUUUUUCAUGUAACUUAUUGUUAUAAACUCAGUGAAAUAUAUUAAUUUCUUAUUAUUGGAUUAUUGGCGGUAAAAGACCAAUUAUUUUAGAUUGAUUUUGUUCAACCUUUUUCAAUGUCUUAAAGACCCUUCUUUUUCUUUUAACCUUGCUCAGUCGGUAUGAACUAUUAUUUGUAUUGCAUAUAUAGUUAUUUUAUUUCAUAAAAUCAGGUUUAUUUGUUUCUUUAAAAAAAAAAAGUUAACUCUUAACUACUGUCAUUUUAACAAAAGUUAAAAAUAUAAAUAUAAGAUGCUCAUGGGUCUUAGCUCUCCCCCCCCCCCCCCCCCCCCCCUUUUUUAUUUAAGCACUACAGUUAUUCAAAUUUUAUAAAAUUAAAUACUCUACAAAUUUUCAUGAUUUCAAAAGUAUACUACACAAUCAAUAAAACAAAUCAAUAUUUUAGUAGUCAUUUGAAUACUAACAAAAUCAUCAAUUGAAGAUGAAAUCAAGAUAACUCUUAAUAUAUACUUGCCAUGCCUUUACGAAUCAUCUAUCAAUUACUAGUAAGAGGAACGAUCUGGUACACGCAGUCGUGCACCUUAUAAUAUGCAACUUUACGCAUGCUAAUAUCUAGGAGAGAGAGUUAAUGGGAUCCACAAUACACUUCUCUAUCUCAAAACUCAGCUCCACAUCUCUCUCUCUCGCAAAUCUUGACAUGCACAGUCGUGCACUAUAAGAUGUGCAAUUGCGUGCACUUAAACAAAAUCUUUAAUAUCAAAAUGUUAGUAAUAAUAAUUAAUUAUGUAACUUUUUAAAAUAGUAUGUGUAUAUUUUUGCAAGCGGUGUUAUCUAAGAUGUUUCUCCUCAACAUAAUUGUAUCCAUUUAAUUUGAACAAAGAGUAAUGCUAUGAUUAGACAUUGUGAUACAAAGAGUGUUUAUGGCUGUGUCAUUUUUUUCCGUUGCUAUUGCUUCAAAUGCACUGACCUCAUCUUCCACGAUGGGACAGUUGAAACUUGAAAGCAUUUUCCAUUUGCUGCUACUUCGACUCCACUAGCACCAUCUUCCGCUAUGGUACAGUGGAAAGCAUUCUCCAUUGCUAUUUAUUCGAAUGCACCAACCUGCGCUUCUUUUGCAUUGUCUUUAAACUAGUCCCAUUUCAAGUUUUUUUCCCCCCUCUCUAUUCUUUUCCCUAUUUCAGGUAAUAACCAGUGAGUUAGUUAUUCCGCCGUUGUUGUUUCUUUUGAUAUAUUUUUUGACAUGGGGUUGUUCAUUUUUCUUGUUUCUUGUUCUUUUUGGAACUUCCAUUGAAGCAAGUAAAAUCAUUUUACUUGUAAGCUGCUGCAAGCUGUUAAAAAAGAUGGCAAUUAGUUUCUCAUUUUCUUGUUGAUGAAGCCUGUAUAUGAAUAAACUACGCGCCAGCUUGUCAUUUUGUUAUUCAAACCAUUAUAUGGCAUGUUCUGCUUUCUGUUUUCUGUUUUCUGUUUCUUUCUUUUUUUUUUUUUUGGGAAAAUUUUCUAAAUACUUAAUUUUUCUUUUUCCCCUGAAUAUCUACAGAAUGAUUGCUAGAACAACGAUGGGCCAAUGGUUCAAUCUUUUACUAUGUGCACUCAUAGUACUAAAAGCUCAAGCAGGCUUUAAUGUAUCAAUCACCUAUGUUGAAAAUGCUGUAGCGAAAGGAGCUGGUGGGGAUUAGUGUGUAUAUAUAAAUUGACGCUUCAUUUUGUGAUUUUUCAUUAUUGCGUACUACAAUUUGUUAGCUGUUUAAUAUGUUUUGCAGUCUGUUUGGAUGGCAGCCCACCUGCUUACCAUUUUGAUAAGGGGUUUGGAGCCGGGAUCAACAAUUGGUUGGUGCACAUUGAUGUAACGUCCUCCUCUAUCUAAAAACAUUUCUUAUAUUCGCUGCAACAUUAAAUGAUAUGGAUGAAGAGUAAUCAAUCUUACAUAUUAUAGUCAUAAGAAUUCUGGUGAUGUUUACAUUUACCAUUCAUGCUAUGUAUGUAUCAUCUACCUUUUUGUGAUUCAAUUUGCCUUUGGCUUUGGUUUCUUAGGGAGGAGCAUGGUGCAACAAUGUCGAAGAUUGUUCUAAGCGAAGGGAUUCCUCAUAUGGUUCAUCUAAGCAUAUGGUCAAGGAAGCUAAUUUUACUGGGAUACUAAGUAAUGAGCAGAAAUUUAACCCAGGUAUGACCUUUUUGUGUCACUUAUUGAUUUGAUUGAUGCAAAUCAAUAAAUUCCCCUUUCCAUUUCUAGACUUCUACGAUUGGAAUAGAGUCAGGGUUAGAUACUGCGAUGGGGCAUCGUUUACUGGAGAUGUAGAGGCUGUCAAUCCAGUAGGUUAACUUUCGCCACAAUUUUCUUAUAUACAUGUUUUUGGGUUCCCUCGUGUGAUGUUUAGUUAGUCGGUGAUUUGAUCAGGAAACAAACCUUCACUUCAGAGGAGCAAGGGUUUUUGAAGCUGUCAUGGAGGAUCUAUUGGCUAAAGGAAUGAAAAAUGCUCAAAAUGUAAGAUCAUUCUGUUUUUGUUUUUAAAAAUAUGUUCAUUAGAUUGGUAUGUUUGAUAACUCAUUAGCACUUAUGACAGGCUAUACUUACUGGUUGUUCCGCUGGGGGCUUGACUUCGAUUUUGCAUUGCGAUAACUUCCGAGCUCUCUUUCCCGUUGAUACUAGAGUAAAAUGCUUUGCAGAUGCUGGUUAUUUUGUGAAUGCGUAAGCUCCUGUUCUUUCACCAAACGUGAUGUAGCAGUUGCUUCAGUUGUUUUUCUUUUCCGAAAUCUAAUUACCCAGUGUAUUUUUCAAUAGGAAGGAUGUUUCUGGAGAAAGUCACAUUGAGGAGUUCUAUAAACAAGUGGUCGCAUUACAUGUACACACUCUGUCUCUCAUCCUCUUUCGUGCUUACCGACACAAAAUAAUGUUUUUACAUCUUGUGUAGGGAUCGGCUAAUCAUUUGCCAGCAUCCUGCACUUCGAGAUUAAGUCCAGGAUUGGUGAGUUCCACCAUUUUAAUGUUUCUACGUUCUAGUCUUCAUCCAUUCGUUUAUGGACUGACCGAUUCCUUUUAAAAUGACAGUGUUUCUUCCCACAAAACGUGGCAGGGCAAAUCAAGACACCACUAUUUAUCAUUAACUCAGCAUACGAUUCAUGGCAGGUUAGCACAGUUCUUGAAUAUCUAAGAUUAAAUGUCAGAAAAUGUGAUACAUAAGCUUAGUGCAAGAAGGUAAUUUUUUGUACUUAGUGACAUCUCAAGCGAAGCUUGAUUCUUGGGCCUUCUUGUACAAGCAAAAAGAGACUGGCGGAAGAUUUGACACAUUUUUAAUAUGUUAUAUCCGAAGCCAUUGAAUAGUUUCAAUAAAUUAUGUGCAAUUUCAACCUGGUAAUAUUGUUACGAGCGGAAAAUGACAUACACAGAUAUCGAACAUUUUGGUGCCGGAAGAUGCUGAUCCAAAAGGAGCUUGGAGCAGCUGUAAGGUGGAUAUAAAAACCUGCUCAUCUACUCAGCUGCAAACUAUGCAAGGUAAUUCCCCAAAGCCCCGGAUUACUCCUUUCCCUAAAGACGUUUUUUCAUUUUAUUGUUGAUAAUUGAAAGUGUCAAGUCUCUUUGUAUACCUUUCAGGUUUCAGGGUGCAAUUCCUGAAUGCAUUGGCCGGACUUGGCAACUCUUCAUCCAGAGGAAUGUUUGUAGACUCUUGUUAUACUCACUGCCGAACCGAUUAUCAGGAAACUUGGUUUAGUGCGGACUCUCCGGUGCUGGAUAAAACGGUACGAGUUA